rnacentral:rRNA from 1 species
UACGUAGGGACCGAGCGUUGUCCGGAAUCAUUGGGCGUAAAGAGCGUGUAGGCGGCCCCUUAAGUCCUGCGUGAAAUCCUGCGGCUCAACCGCAGACGGUCGUGGGAAACUGGAGGGCUAGAGUGCGGGAGAGGAGAGUGGAAUUCCCGGUGUAGCGGUGAAAUGCGCAGAUAUCGGGAAGAACACCCGUGGCGAAGGCGGCUCUCGUGGAACGCAACUGACGCAUGAGACGGCGAAAAGC